rnacentral:rRNA from 1 species
GAUGAACGCUGGCGGCGUGCCUAAUACAUGCAAGUCGAGCGAACAGACGAGGAGCUUGCUCCUCUGACGUUAGCGGCGGACGGGUGAGUAACACGUGGAUAACCUACCUAUAAGACUGGGAUAACUUCGGGAAACCGGAGCUAAUACCGGAUAAUAUAUUGAACCGCGUGGUUCAAUAGUGAAAGACGGUUUUGCUGUCACUUAUAGAUGGAUCCGCGCCGCAUUAGCUAGUUGGUAAGGUAACGGCUUACCAAGGCAACGAUGCGUAGCCGACCUGAGAGGGUGAUCGGCCACACUGGAACUGAGACACGGUCCAGACUCCUGCGGGAGGCAGCAGUAGGGAAUCUUCCGCAAUGGGCGAAAGCCUGACGGAGCAACGCCGCGUGAGUGAUGAAGGUCUUCGGAUCGUAAAACUCUGUUAUUAGGGAAGAACAAAUGUGUAAGUAACUAUGCACGUCUUGACGGUACCUAAUCAGAAAGCCACGGCUAACUACGUG